AACCCAAUAUGUUAUAUAAAUUCUUUCUCUUAAUUUUAAAUUUCUCACAAUUGUGUAGAUCCGUGAGUAACCCAGAAAAAUUUCUCACAAUUGUGUGGAUUCGUGAGUAACCCAACAAAAAAAACAGCACCACUUAUUCACUACCAAAUUUACAUGCACCCAGUAAACAUGUUUUUGGUCAAGUCUCUUCCUUUCUCAGUUUCUCAAGAUCCCCUUUCUACUCUUUACGAACCCUAAAAAUGGCCUCUCUAUCUAUUGAAAUUGGCGAGAAACAAUCCCGUAAUCGAUUUCCUCUCUCUCUGAAACUCUUCACCCUUGAAUUGGCACCAGCAAUGGAAAGAUUCGGCGGCAUCCACGGGGAGUUCUCAAUGUUGCUAGCCUUCAUCAUAUCAUCUUUUGCUCUGUAUACUUUGGUGGAGGAUAUCUAUGACGGAACCUUGGUAAAACUACAAACCCUCUUUUCCAAAUGAGCAAUGAAAGAUUUUUAGGUUAAGGUAUGGGUUCUAAUAUCUGUGCAUGUCAUUGUUUAUUUUCUUUUGCAACACAUGCACAAAAAUUUGAUGGAGUAUAUAUCUAAUGGUGUGUAUUUCAUUGUGAGCUUUUAGGUGACUUCAUAUUGGAUCAACUAUAGGAAAAGGGUAGGUUCAUUGGCACCAUUUGGUGACCUUUUUGUUAUUUCUGAUUUUUG